GCCAAAUCCAAGUUUUCAGUUCCAAAGACCACCCUGCUGCUGGCAUAAAGGAUGGAUAUGAGGACGAGAAGAGGAGGUACGUGGGUACUAGCACAAGAAUGCUCGCAAAGGGCAGUCAGUAAGUGUAUGAAGCAUGAUGAUACCAGUAGAAGAUGGGAUCCUGGUUUUGAUGACUGGCCUGGUUAUCCUACAAAAACAGUAGUUGAGGCAUUGUACAAGUGUUAA
rnacentral:lncRNA from 1 species